rnacentral:rRNA from 1 species
GACGAACCGUGCGAACGUUAUUCGGAAUCAUUGGGCGUAAAGGGCGCGUAGGCGGUGCGGUAAGUCACCUGUGAAAUCUCCUGGCUCAACUGGGAGCUUGCAGGCGAAACUGCCGUGCUGGAGUGUGGGAGAGGUGCGUGGAAUUCCUGGUGUAGCGGUGAAAUGCGUAGAUAUCAGGAGGAACACCUGUGGCGAAAGCGGCGCACUGGACCACAACUGACGCUGAGGCGCGAAAGCUAGGGGAGCAAACAGG